GAGUUUGAUCCUGGCUCAGAACGAACGCUGGCGGCAGGCCUAACACAUGCAAGUCGAGCGCACCUUUGGGUGAGCGGCGGACGGGUGAGUAACGCGUGGGAAUAUGCCCUUCUCUGCGGAAUAGCCUCUGGAAACGGAGAGUAAUACCGCAUACGCCCUUCGGGGGAAAGAUUUAUCGGAGAAGGAUUAGCCCGCGUUAGAUUAGAUAGUUGGUGGGGUAAUGGCCUACCAAGUCUACGAUCUAUAGCUGGUUUUAGAGGACGAUCAGCCACACUGGGACUGAGACACGGCCCAGACUCCUACGGGAGGCAGCAGUGGGGAAUCUUAGACAAUGGGCGAAAGCCUGAUCUAGCCAUGCCGCGUGAGUGAUGAAGGCCCUAGGGUCGUAAGGCUCUUUCGCCAGGGAUGAUAAUGACAGUACCUGGUAAAGAAACCCCGGCUAACUCCGUGCCAGCAGCCGCGGUAAUACGGAGGGGGUUAGCGUUGUUCGGAAUUACUGGGCGUAAAGCGCACGUAGGUGGAUUGGAAAGUAGGGGGUGAAAUCCCGGGGCUCAACCCCGGAACUGCCUUCUAAACUCCCAGUCUAGAGUUCGAGAGAGGUGAGUGGAAUUCCAAGUGUAGAGGUGAAAUUCGUAGAUAUUUGGAGGAACACCAGUGGCGAAGGCGGCUCACUGGCUCGAUACUGACGCUGAGGUGCGAAAGUGUGGGGAGCAAACAGGAUUAGAUACCCUGGUAGUC
rnacentral:rRNA from 1 species